rnacentral:rRNA from 1 species
UACGGGGGGGAGCAAGCGUUGUUCGGAUUUACUGGGCGUAAAGGGCGCGUAGGCGGUCGUGACAAGUCACUUGUGAAAUCUCCGGGCUUAACUCGGAACGGUCAAGUGAUACUGUCGGACUAGAGUACAGAAGGGGGGCAACUGGAAAUUCUCGGUGUAGCGGUGAAAAUGCGUAGAUAUCGAGAGGGAAACACCUGCGGC